rnacentral:rRNA from 1 species
UGAGGAAUAUUGGUCAAUGGGCGAGAGCCUGAACCAGCCAAGUCGCGUGAAGGAAGACUGCCCGCAAGGGUUGUAAACUUCUUUUGUAUGGGAUUAAAGUCGUCUACGUGUAGACGUUUGCAGUUACCGUACGAAUAAGCAUCGGCUAAUUCCGUGCCAGCAGCCGCGGUAAUACGGAAGGUCCAGGCGUUAUCCGGAUUUAUUGGGUUUAAAGGGAGCGUAGGCUGUUUGUUAAGCGUGUUGUGAAAUGUAAGAGCUCAACUUUUAGAUUGCAGCGCGAACUGGCAGACUUGAGUGCGCACAACGUAGGCGGAAUUCAUGGUGUAGCGGUGAAAUGCUUAGAUAUCAUGACGAACUCCGAUUGCGAAGGCAGCUUACGGGAGCGCAACUGACGCUAAAGCUCGAAGGUGCGGGUAUCGAACAGG